rnacentral:rRNA from 1 species
UACAGAGGGUGCAAGCGUUGUUCGGAAUUACUGGGCGUAAAGCGCGUGUAGGUGGCGAUGUAAGUCGGGUGUGAAAUCCCUCAGCUUAACUGAGGAAGUGCACUCGAUACUGUGUCGCUUGAGUGUUGGAGGGGAUGGCGGAAUUCCCGGUGUAGAGGUGAAAUUCGUAGAUAUCGGGAGGAACACCUGUGGCGAAGGCGGCCAUCUGGACAACUCCUGACACUGAGGCACGAAAGCUAGGGGAGCAAACAGG